ACGCUACAAUGGUCUGUACAAUUGGUUGCCAAGCCGCAGGCGGAGCCAAUCCGUAAAGCAGGCCUCAGUUCAGAUUGCAGUCUGCAACUCGACUGCAUGAAGCCGGAGUUGCUAGUAACCGCAGGUCAGCAAUACUGCGGUGAAUACGUUCCCGGGUCUU
rnacentral:rRNA from 1 species